rnacentral:tRNA from 1 species
CGGGGCGUGGCGCAGCCUGGUAGCGCGCGGCCUUUGGGUGGCCGAGGUCCCCGGUUCGAAUCCGGGCGCCCCGAUCA